rnacentral:rRNA from 1 species
UGGGGAAUCUUCCGCAAUGGACGAAAGUCUGACGGAGCAACGCCGCGUGAGUGAUGACGGUCUUCGGAUUGUAAAGCUCUGUUAAUCGGGACGAAUGGUUUGUGUGCAAAUAGUGCAUAGACAUGACGGUACCGGAAUAGAAAGCCACGGCUAACUACGUGCCAGCAGCCGCGGUAAUACGUAGGUGGCAAGCGUUGUCCGGAAUUAUUGGGCGUAAAGCGCGCGCAGGCGGACUAGCCAGUCAGUCUUAAAAGUUCGGGGCUUAACCCCGUGAUGGGGUUGAAACUACUAGGCUAGAGUAUCGGAGAGGAAAGUGGAAUUCCUAGUGUAGCGGUGAAAUGCGUAGAUAUUAGGAAGAACACCAGUGGCGAAGGCGACUUUCUGGACGAACACUGACGCUGAGGCGCGAAAGCCAGGGGAGCGAACGGG